ACCAUUCAAAUGAUUAGCAAACAGCAUACUAUAUGUACUUUAUAUGCUGUCACAGACUACCACAUUGGGCUGUACCAUGUGAGUACAUGUACCUUGUAGUACUUGGACAAGACUUUAUUGAGGGUGAAGUUUUAAUUGAAACAUUUCUGCCUCAGUCAGUGACAUGUGUUGUCUUUCUCAGCACUCUUGGAAGCAGUUGAUGGCAAUGCCAAAGCAGUAAAUGCCUGAAGGAUGAGACAUAGCCCCUUGGAGGCAGUCAUCCGAACAGUACCAUUGAUCUGCAUUAAAAAUAGUGGGAAAGGUAUCGGCAGUCGCUGUGAUACCACUCAUCGUGGAGACAUUUGUCUCCAAGGUGGCACUGCACCAUCUCCCCACCUUUCCUCUGGUGGCACAUACAGUAAAUGUAUGUACCAUCAUCUGCACAGGACUGGC